rnacentral:rRNA from 1 species
UACGUAGGGUGCGAGCGUUAAUCGGAAUUACUGGGCGUAAAGCGUGCGCAGGCGGUUUUGUAAGUCAGAUGUGAAAUCCCCGGGCUUAACCUGGGAACUGCGUUUGAAACUACAAGGCUAGAGUGUGGCAGAGGGGGGUGGAAUUCCACGGUGUAGCAGUGAAAUGCGUAGAGAUGUGGAGGAACACCGAUGGCGAAGGCAGCCCCCUGGGUUAACACUGACGCUCAGGCACGAAAGCGUGGGGAGCAAACAGG